UCUUCAAUUAACUAUGAGAAUAUUGGGCGGAUAGGAAUGGGAUGACUGAAUCAUGAAGGAAGCAAAAAAAAAAUUAAGUUGAUACUAAUCGAGUUGAAUUUGUUUCUUUCAUGUCUAAGCUUCAUUCCAAAUCCAAUUAGGUAUUGUGUGUAUAGAUUCAAGUUCUUUGCAAUUAAAGUAAUAUAUUGUUGGUGAGAGUUGCGGAGCAGCUUGGUGGGUGUUAGCAUUAAGCUUUUGUCUUUCAGGAGGUUGCUUGGAAUGAUGUAAUUCCUGAAUUUUCAUCUCGAAGGCGUGCGUAUUAUUCCUCUUGAAAUGUAGAGCUCCAACAGUACGGAGGCUGCAAUUUCCAACUGAUACUGCCUUACUUUGUCUUCCUUGAGAUGAAGCCUGCCUUGCUGAAAAGUUUUGAUGGUCUCUUUCAUCAAAUUGAGUGACUAUGUUGGGUUAAAACAAUAGCAUAAUCGACGCUUUAUGUUGGAUUUAUUGUUAUAUACUUAUGAGUGAAUCUGUUUCUCUUUGCGAAGUAUACCUAAAUUACCAAACAAACAAUCCUUUUGGUCAUCAAACACACUUUUGUCAUUUUCACAUAAACUGUUUGGAUUAACAGAGAGCACAUUUGACCAGGAAUUGGCAGAUCUAUUUCCUCUUGAAUUACUUGAAUCUAUUCCUGUGUGUUUCAUUCUGAGAAGAUAAAAUCUUUUGUACAUUACUUUAAAUUUCAACAGUUCUUUUAGUACAGAGGUUCGUCUUUUGCUGUUUGACAUCCUUGCAGUAUUUUUUAUUUAGUUCUUUCUACCAUUUACAUGAUCCUUUAAUGGACAGGGGCUGAUGUAUGGGUUCGGUAGAAUCCAGUACCAGAAUUAAAUUUAGAACUCAGUUACUAGCAAUUGAGGUUGUUCCCCUAGAAUCCAAAACUCAUAAAGUUCAAAUUCUAGAUCCGCCACUGCUGAUGGAUGUGGAUGCACCUUAUUUACUCAUUGAUGUAGUUGUGCAGAUUGCAGAUCAGUGUGGAUUCUAAUUUCUGGAGCUCUCCGAUAUUCCACGAGUUUAUAAUGCCAUGGUGUACCUGUUUUAUAUAUACCUAAGUAGUAAUAAUAUGGGUUUAGCGUCUAUAUGGAUUGACUCUUUAGUGUUCUCUAGUAGGUGAUUGCCCCAUAAGUUACUUUCUUCCGUUAGAGUUAAGUGACAUGUCAAUUAACGAAAAUCUGCUUAUUGACAUUGCUGGAAUGGAAAAUUCUGUCUAUAUAUUUCAUGUUCUGUGAAAGCUCAGUUUCAACAUGUUAUACUACAGUGCUUCCAUCAACACUUUGGUUUUUGCAGAUGAACUGUCUGAAAAGGUGAUGAGUGAAAUUAUGUCAAUACAAAUUUCUUUGAGAGGAUUCUAGUCUGGAUUUGACUUCUUGUUAAAAUGUUAAAAUCUGAUGCGAGAAAGUGCUCUCUGCAAUAACAAUUACAGUCAGCAAUGAGAUUCCAUUUGCAUUUUGAGUACAGGCAAUUGAAUCAACUGGUGCUCAGGUCAUAUAUCAGAUGCUACGAAUCAAGUUUCCUAGGUUUAAUGCACCAAUCGUAGUAUAAGUUGGACGACCUUAUUUGGACAGGGUGUCAUUAAGUUUGGAUCAAUAUUGCUAGCAGUAAAGGAAGGCUUGUUGAAAUUUUUUUUGCCAUGGAGAAAAGAAAGACAUUUUAAGGAUGAGGCAAUGAUCUUUAUAUCUUAGCUAAGAAUGGAGAUUUCGAUAGGUGAAGAAGGUAGGCUGAGAAAGCUAUCGGGGAUGUCCAUAACCUCCAUUAAAUGUUUUGACCUGUGUAUGGAAGGGUUUGUUGAAUCCGCCCUUUUUCCGCCCACACACCCAGAUUGUAUCGGUGCAGGAUGCUGUUGAGUUCUGAAAAGUUUUAUCGGAAGGGAUCUCUAACAGAAUGUGACUUAUCGUGGA